AUUGGGUUAGGCCUAUGGCGUGGGUCAGGCCCAUGGUGUGAGGGGGCUCCGUUCCACCUCCCCUCCCCUCCCCUCCCAGCUCUAGCCAUUCAAAAGUAGCUGGCAGCUCUGUGCUGGCUGCUCCCUCCCUUUCCCCCUUCCUCCCCUGCUGAUAGCCCCUGAGCUGGGGGGAGGCGCGGGGCUGGGGAGAGGGGCAGUUUGGCAGUCUCUUCGGAGGCUGACUGCCUGUAGACACCCUUAAGGAAAUGGAUCUCUUUUAGUCAUGAAUGAAUGAGAAUGAAGCAGGGGAAAGAAGCAACAUAUCCUCCCUUCCACCCCUCCAUUAUUAUACUCCUUCCAGUCACUGUGUUAGUUAUGGAGGAGCAGGAGUUGGUAUGACGAAACAGUUUGGUAGUUUCCAAUGCUUGGUUUGGAUCGCGAUAUCAGAGCAGUCUUUAAGCCAGGGCUGUCCAACAUCCAAGUAGCCAGAGACCUGGAGCUCCAUGGACCACACCAGCUGGAGCUGUAUGUCUUACGAGCUGCACCAGCUAAAUGGUGUGAGCAACUAUCUAGCAUAUGGAAGCAUUUCCACACUGCAAGUUAUUCCGAGAAAUAAAAUGUGAUUUGCAAAUACUGUGAAAUGAAAUAUGCAUUUCCAAAUGCUACUAGGAUGACCAAACACAUCCUUGUAUGUAAGAAGUGUUCUGCAGCUAUUAAAACAUCGUUCAUGGGUAUAAGUGAGGAGGAGGUAGAGCAUGGUGAUGGAAGUGAAAGUAGCUCCUUCCAACAUUCUUGAUCCAGAAGUCCUCCGACUGCUUCUUCUUCUAUAACAACACCAUCAUAAAGGUUUGCCCAAUCAACAUCCUCAAGUAACCAAAUAUUGCAACCAACUGUAUAUGAAAGACUCUCAAUAGCAUCAUUUGUAGACAAGAUGACACCUAAAGAUCAGGAAAAAAUUGACCAAGCUCUUGCAAAAGCAAUAUAUUAUUCUGGGAUGUCACUGUAAAUAACUGAAAAUGCAUACUGGCAGGAAGCUUUUAAAUUACUAAGACCAUCAUACUGUUUGCCCAGCAAGCCUCUUUUAGAGUCAGAAUAUGAAUGUGUAAUGUAAUCUGUGUGAGGAAAGAUCAGUGAAGCACUGUGUCUUGCAGUACUUGGAUGAAUGGACAAAUGUGUGGAGAGAAGGAAUCAUAAAUUUUGCGAUAACAACACCUCAACCAGUUUUUUACAGAAGCACUGAAACAGGAGAGAACAGGCAUACUGCAGAGUAUAUCAGUAGCAAAAUAUGUGAAGUCCUACAGAAGAUUGGGAGUGGUAAAGUAUUUGCUUCGCUGACUGAUAAGGAAGUAACAUGAAAGCAGCAUGGGAGAUCAUAAUGGAUAAAUAUCCACAUAUUACUGCAAUAGGAUGUGCAUCCCAUGAGCUACAGUAACUUCUUAAUGACAUGAAGUUGGACACUCUGCAAAAGAAGCUAUAAAACAUGUAACAGCUACUGAUAUUGUAGCUGCAGUCUUUAAGAAGAAGCAGGAAGAAAAGAAUGCAAAGAAUAAAAUAGAGACUCUCAAACUCUGUAGUAAAACUAGAUGGGGUGGAGUGGUGAUCUCAUUUGAAAGUUUACUAAAAACAAAGAAGCUCUUCAAGAAACAGUAAUAACUGAGGAUCUUAAAGUAUCGAGAAGUGUAAGGAACACUGCACUUGAUGAGGAUGUCUUCUGGGUUUAGCUGCAGAACUCCCUGAAAAUUCUAAAGAUAAUUUCUUCAGCAAUCACUGCAUCUGGAUCAGACAGUGCACUUUUGUCAGAUAUUCCUUACCAAAUGGCCCAGAUAAAAAUCAACCGUUUUUGAGAAUCUAAGUGUAUCUGCUUACAACUACAGAAGAAAAAAAAGUGACUUUAACAGACGGGAAGAAUUUUGUUGCCAAUCAAUUCAUGCUGCUGCAAAUCUCUUGGAUCCAAGAUUCAGAAAUGUUAGAGGUGAUAGCACUGCUACUGCAUUUGACUGGAUUACAAAACAAGCAACACACUUAGGACUUGCUGUAGAAAAGGUACUUUCAAAUGUUGCAGAAUAAAAAACAUCUUCAGGUAUUUGGUCCAGGAAUGCAGUCUGAGACUCUGCCAAGGAUAUAUCCCUCCUGCAGCAUGGUGCCAAGGCCUUUGCACAACCCAGCCUCUGACUCCUCUUGCUUUUCACCUGCUCCAAUCUGCUCAGAUUCCUCCACCUUCUGCAGCAUGUGAAAGAAACUGGUCUAUGUUUGGAAAUACUCACACCAAAUCAAGAAACAAACUAGCAUGUGAAAGAGUAGAGAAGCUUGUCUCAAUCUGGGCAAACCUUCAAUCUGGGCAAGCCUUCAGUUUUCAGAAGUCCAUGAAUAUGAUAAAAAUGAAGGAUAAGAAGAAGCAGAAGAAGCAGAAAAUGCUGAUAGUGAUAGCUCAGAAAAUGAGACUGAUUAGACAAAGUUUCAUGUAGCAAAAUUUGUAUUCAAUGAGUCUUGGGUUUUUUUCCUCCUUUUUUUUCUCAGCUCUUUUUCUAAAAAUGAGUGCUUUCUGUAUCUGCUUGACACUGUGGAGGGGACUAAGUCCUGAAUACAUGAUAACUUUCUUUGUUUUA